rnacentral:rRNA from 1 species
GACGAACGCUGGCGGCGUGCCUAAUACAUGCAAGUAGAACGCUGAAGGAGGAGCUUGCUUCUCUGGAUGAGUUGCGAACGGGUGAGUAACGCGUAGGUAACCUGCCUGGUAGCGGGGGUUAACUUUUGGAAACGUAACUUAUAACCGCAUAAGAUAAGAUGUUGCAUGACAUUUACUAAAAAGUUGCAAUUCCUUCCUAACCAAAUGACCCUGCGUUGUAUUAGCUAGUUGGUGAGGUAACGGCUCACAAAGGCAACGAUACAUAGCCGACCUGAGAGGGUGAUCGGCCACACUGGGACUGAGACACGGCCCAGACUCCUACGGGAGGCAGCAGUAGGGAAUCUUCGGCAAUGGACGGAAGUCUGACCGAGCAACGCCGCGUGAGUGAAGAAGGGUUUCGGAUCGUAAAGCUCUGUUGUAAGAGAAGAACGAGUGUGAGAGUGGAAAGUUCACACUGUGACGGUAUCUUACCAGAAAGGGACGGCUAACUACGUG